rnacentral:rRNA from 1 species
GACGAACGCUGGCGGCGUGCUUAACACAUGCAAGUCGAACGAUGAAGCCGGAGCUUGCUCUGGUGAAUUAGUGGCGAACGGGUGAGUAACACGUGAAUAACCUGCCCUUGACUCUGGGAUAACUGCGGGAAACUGUAGCUAAUACCGGAUACGACCCUCGGAGGCAUCUCCUGGGGGUGGAAAGAAUUUCGGUCAAGGAUGGACUCGCGGCCUAUCAGCUAGUUGGUGAGGUAAAGGCUCACCAAGGCGACGACGGGUAGCCGGCCUGAGAGGGUGAGCGGCCACACUGGGACUGAGACACGGCCCAGACUCCUGCGGGCGGCAGGAGUGGGGAAUAUUGCACAAUGGGCGCAAGCCUGAUGCAGCAGCGGCGCGUGAGGGAUGACGGCCUUCGGGUUGUAAACCUCUUGUAGCAGGGAAGAAGCGAAAGUGACGGUACCCGCAGAAAAAGCACCGGCUAACUACGUGCCAGCCGCCGCGGUAA